UCCCGCCAAUAACGUAAACCCGUC
rnacentral:siRNA from 1 species